rnacentral:rRNA from 1 species
CCGACGGUACAGGGUGAUAGUCCCGUACACCAAAAUGCACAGGUUGUGAACUCGAAGAGUAGGGCGGGACACGUGGUAUCCUGUCUGAAUAUGGGGGGACCAUCCUCCAAGGCUAAAUACUCCUGACUGACCGAUAGUGAACCAGUACCGUGAGGGAAAGGCGAAAAGAACCCCGGCGAGGGGAGUGAAAAAGAACCUGAAACCGUGUACGUACAAGCAGUGGGAGCACCUUCGGGUGUGACUGCGUACCUUUUGUAUAAUGGGUCAGCGACUUAUAUUCUGUAGCAAGGUUAACCGUAUAGGGGAGCCGCAGGGAAACCGAGUCUUAACUGGGCGUUAAGUUGCAGGGUAUAGACCCGAAACCCGGUGAUCUAGCCAUGGGCAGGUUGAAGGUUGGGUAACACUAACUGGAGGACCGAACCGACUAAUGUUGAAAAAUUAGCGGAUGACUUGUGGCUGGGGGUGAAAGGCCAAUCAAACCGGGAGAUAGCUGGUUCUCCCCGAAAGCUAUUUAGGUAGCGCCUCGUGAACUCAUCUUCGGGGGUAGAGCACUGUUUCGGCUAGGGGGUCAUCCCGACUUACCAACCCGAUGCAAACUACGAAUACCGAAGAAUGUUAUCACGGGAGACACACGGCGGGUGCUAACGUCCGUCGUGAAGAGGGAAACAACCCAGACCGCCAGCUAAGGUCCCAAAGUCAUGGUUAAGUGGGAAACGAUGUGGGAAGGCACAGACAGCCAGGAUGUUGGCUUAGAAGCAGCCAUCAUUUAAAGAAAGCGUAAUAGCUCACUGGUCGAGUCGGCCUGCGCGGAAGAUGUAACGGGGCUAAACCAUGCACCGAAGCUGCGGCAGCGACACUAUGUGUUGUUGGGUAGGGGAGCGUUCUGUAAGCCUGCGAAGGUGACCUGUGAGGGUUGCUGGAGGUAUCAGAAGUGCGAAUGCUGACAUAAGUAACGAUAAAGCGGGUGAAAAGCCCGCUCGCCGGAAGACCAAGGGUUCCUGUCCAACGUUAAUCGGGGCAGGGUGAGUCGACCCCUAAGGCGAGGCCGAAAGGCGUAGUCGAUGGGAAACAGGUUAAUAUUCCUGUACUUGGUGUUACUGCGAAGGGGGGACGGAGAAGGCUAUGUUAGCCGGGCGACGGUUGUC